rnacentral:rRNA from 1 species
GACGGAGGGGGCAAGCGUUGUCCGGACUCACUGGGCGUAAAGGGUGCGUAGGCGGGUCUUUAAGUCAGGGGUGAAAUCCUGGAGCUCAACUCCAGAACUGCCUUUGAUACUGAAGAUCUUGAGUUCGGGAGAGGUGAGUGGAACUGCGAGUGUAGAGGUGAAAUUCGUAGAUAUUCGCAAGAACACCAGUGGCGAAGGCGGCUCACUGGCCCGAUACUGACGCUGAGGCACGAAAGCGUGGGGAGCAAACAGG